GUGCCCUUAGCUCAGCUGGAUAGAGCACCGGAUUUCUAAUCCGGCGGUCACUGGUUCGAAUCCAGUAGGGCAUG
rnacentral:tRNA from 1 species